UACGGAGGGUGCAAGCGUUAUCCGGAUUCACUGGGUUUAAAGGGUGCGUAGGUGGCUUUGAAGUCAGUGGUGAAAUGCCGCAGCUCAACUGCGGAACUGCCAUUGAUACUGCUUAGCUUGAAUCACGUCGAGGUGGAUGGAAUAUUACAUGUAGCGGUGAAAUGCUUAGAUAUGUAAUAGAACACCGAUUGCGAAGGCAGUUCACUAGGCGUGUAUUGACACUGAGGCACGAAAAGCGUGGGGGAUC
rnacentral:rRNA from 1 species